rnacentral:rRNA from 1 species
UACGGGGGGAGCAAGCGUUGUUCGGAUUUACUGGGCGUAAAGGGCGCGUAGGCGGCCAGCACAAGUCAGUUGUGAAAUCUCCGGGCUUAACUCGGAACGGCCAAGUGAAACUGCCACGCUAGAGUGCAGAAGGGGCAAUCGGAAUUCUUGGUGUAGCGGUGAAAUGCGUAGAUAUCAAGAGGAACACCUGAGGUGAAGACGGGUUGCUGGGCUGACACUGACGCUGAGGCGCGAAAGCCAGGGGAGCAAACGGG